rfam:Picea glauca, whole genome shotgun sequence.
ACAUGCCUACAUCAUAGAGUUAAUGCACCAAAUCCCAUUAGAACUCUGCAGUUAAGCUCGCUCAGGCUAGAGUACUAUUGGCAUGGGUGACCGCCCAGGAAAUACUAGUGUUUUACAUGCC